ensembl:lncRNA
UGAUUAAAGAAGGAAUAAAACUGGCCUCCUUUAGAGGAGUUGGUUAUCUGGAGCAUUAGAAAUUGUGGGUUUGAUUACAGGCUCAAAAUGGCCAGAAACAAAACAUUUUGAAGAAACAGACAUUUCUUCUGAAACUCAUCAGUCUAUUCUUGUUCCAAGAAAUGAAGUCUAUUCCAAGCGAGAAAUUGCAAAAAAACUGAAGAGCUUGUUCAACGCUGUGUACUACUCCCUUCAGAAUUGAAAGAGCAGAAUUGAAAGAGUAGGGGGAGGCCUCCGUGCACUACUGAGCAAGAAGACAAAUACAUUAGUGUCUAGUUUGAGAAACAGACACUUCACAGGUCUUCUGUGACAACUGCACCCUCCGCUGCUUCACCUCCCCCUGCAGCAGACAGACUCCAGCGUUCGCCGUCACCGGCCUUCUGACACCACCGUCCAUCUCAUUAUGCAUUUCACCUGUGUCUUGUUUAGCGCACCUGGUUCUCAUCCUCAUCAUUCCCCCCAGUAUAUAUGUUCCCUCUGCUCCCCCUGUCUUUGUGUGUUAUUGUCUCGCUGUUACCAAAAGAGCAGUGUCGCGCUUCGUAUGUACAUCACUCUAUUAUUAAAAGAUACACCAAAAGUAUUUUGCAGUUCUCCUGCUCCUCCUUGUUCCGCCCUGAAGACGUGACAGAAAAACACACCUAAAAGAAAAAGGAUAUUGAGCCACAAGGAGCCACAGGCGAGGCCGGUGUUGCGGAGGCAGUCAAAUUACAUUCUACAAUGCUGGCCAGCCUAGGCGCCGCAAUGGACACUGUGUUGAAAGCGGUACAGCGCCUAGAGCUGAGCCAGCAGAACCCCGCAGCACCGGCCGUCUCUCCGCCUCCCCAAGUUGGACCGCUGCCAGGGUUUCCUGCUGCAAUUGGACAUCGCGCUCAUGGAGAUGCAUCCUGCACCGACCGAGGCCCAGAAGAUCUCCACACUCGUCUCCUGCCUGUCCGAGAAAGCCCGGGAGUGGGCCACCGCCGUUUGGAACAUCGAGUAGCCCACCCAGGGAAGCUACGCCGACUUCACCCGCCGCUUCCGAGCCGUGUUCAACCAUCCUCACGAAGGGAGAGAAGCGGGUGAACGGCUGUUCCACCUACGGCAGGGGACGAGAUCGGCGCAGGAGUUCGCACUGGAGUUCCGGGACCCUGGCAGCAGGAUCGGGGUGGAACGAGCGGGCUCUAAUCGACCACUAUCAGUGUAGCCUUUGCGAGGACGUCCGGAGGGAGCUAGCUUCUCGAGACGUGUCCCUCUCCCUCGACCAACUGGUAGACAUGUCCAUCCAUCUCGCCCGAGGACGUCCCGGAAGAGGCCCGCCCGUUCCACCCUGCCAACCAGACGCUUUCGGGCAGAGGUCGGGGAGGACAGGUGCGGAGUGCCUCCAAGAGGAGACAAGGCCGUACAUCCGCACCACAUCGCACCUCCCUCCCCGAGUCCAGAGGCGACAGGCAUGGCACUUCCGCGUCACCCCAGGCCGGUGGUGGCUGGUCCCCUUCAGGGGUGUGAGGUGCGGGAGGCCCCCCCCCCCCCUCUGGACAUCGAGGGGCCCCCGGCGUACUCCUUCUGCUCCAUCAUCGACUCGAGGCACCAGGCGGGGGGCCUCCAGUACCUCGUGGAGUGGGAGGGGUACGGCCCGAAGGAGCGGAGCUGGGUUCUGGUGAGGGACGUCCUGGCUCCCGUCCUCGUUCGUGAGUUCCAUCGGCGUCGUCCGGAUCACCCUGAUCCGCGUCCCCCGGGUCGGCCCCGGGGCCGGUGUCGUCGCGGCGCCUCAGAGGGGGGGUACUGUGACAACUGCGCCCUCUGCUGCUUCACCUCCCCCUGCAGCAGACAGACUCCAGCGUUCGACGUCACCGGCCUUCUGACACCACCGUCCAUCUCAUUAUGCAUUUCACCUGUGUCUUGUUUAGCGCACCUGGUUCUCAUCCUCAUCAUUCCCCCCCAGUAUAUAUGUUCCCUCUGCUCCCCCUGUCUUUGUGUUAUUGUCUCACUGUUACCAAAAGAGCAGUGUCGCGCUUCGUAUGUACAUCACUCCAUUAUUAAAAGAUAC